rnacentral:rRNA from 1 species
UCGAGGGGUAACAGAGAGAAGCUUGCUUCUUUGCUGACGACCGGCGCACGGGUGCGUAACGCGUAUACAAUCUACCUUUUGCUGAGGGAUAGCCCAGAGAAAUUUGGAUUAAUACCUCAUAGUAUAUAUGAAUCGCAUGGUUUAUAUAUUAAAGGUUACGGCAGAAGAUGAGUAUGCGUUCUAUUAGCUAGAUGGUGUGGUAACGGCACACCAUGGCAACGAUAGAUAGGGGCCCUGAGAGGGGGAUCCCCCACACUGGUACUGAGACACGGACCAGACUCCUACGGGAGGCAGCAGUGAGGAAUAUUGGACAAUGGGCGAGAGCCUGAUCCAGCCAUGCCGCGUGCAGGAAGACUGCCCUAUGGGUUGUAAACUGCUUUUAUACAGGAAGAAACACUCCCUCGUGAGGGAGCUUGACGGUACUGUAAGAAUAAGGAUCAGCUAACUCCGUGCCAGCAGCCGCGGUAAUACGGAGGAUCCAAGCGUUAUCCGGAAUCAUUGGGUUUAAAGGGUCCGUAGGUGGAUAAUUAAGUCAGAGGUGAAAGUCUGCAGCUCAACUGUAGAAUUGCCUUUGAUACUGGUUAUCUUGAAUUAUUAUGAAGUAGUUAGAAUAUGUAGUGUAGCGGUGAAAUGCAUAGAUAUUACAUAGAAUACCAAUUGCGAAGGCAGAUUACUAAUAAUAUAUUGACACUGAUGGACGAAAGCGUGGGGAGCGAACAGGAUUAGAUACCCUGGUAGUCCACGCCGUAAACGAUGGAUACUAGCUGUUCGGAUUUAUCUGAGUGGCUAAGCGAAAGUGAUAAGUAUCCCACCUGGGGAGUACGUUCGCAAGAAUGAAACUCAAAGGAAUUGACGGGGGCCCGCACAAGCGGUGGAGCAUGUGGUUUAAUUCGAUGAUACGCGAGGAACCUUACCAGGGCUUAAAUGUAAGUUGCAUGAUUUAGAGAUAGAUCUUUCUUCGGACUACUUACAAGGUGCUGCAUGGUUGUCGUCAGCUCGUGCCGUGAGGUGUCAGGUUAAGUCCUAUAACGAGCGCAACCCCUGUUGUUAGUUGCCAGCGAUUCAAGUCGGGAACUCUAACAAGACUGCCAGUGCAAACUGUGAGGAAGGUGGGGAUGACGUCAAAUCAUCACGGCCCUUACGUCCUGGG